UGGAAGAACAGAAUUCUUUGAGCAUUUUGGAAUUCAAGGCGCAGGGUCGAGGUACUCUCUGAAGACAUGCUCAGGAGUGGUGGAUACAGCAGGGCGACGCGCCAGCAACUUCAUAGUGGAAUCAGUAGACGGUAACAUCCACAUUCCCUUGCCUACUCUGAUUGAGUGUGACAUGCUGCCAGACGACAGGUCCGAAAUACCAUCACCAGAGGUAGCCAGACAUCAUCCACACCUCAAACACUUGGCAGACAAAAUCCCAGCCCUAGAUCCCAACGCGUCCAUCCUCCUUCUACUUGGGCGAGACAUAAUACGGCUGCACAAAGUGCGUGAACAAUGUAAUGGGCCACACAAUGCACCGUUUGCUCAGCGACUCGACCUUGGAUGGGUGAUAAUCGGAGAAGUGUGUCUGGGAAGAGCACAUAAAACCACAACUGCCAGCGUCUUCAGAACCAGUGUGCUGACAAGCGGACGUCACUCCAUCCUUAACCCAUGUAUCAGCAACUUAAUGGUCAGAGAGAAGAUUGACAGCGCUGUACCACCCCACACCUUUCCAUGUGUGUCUCAUGCAGCCAAUAAAGCAGAUAGUCUGGGCAGAGACGUGUUUCAAAGAACACAACGCGACGAUCAGCUUGGCCUGUCCAUCGAAGAUGAGUUGUUCCUUGAUCUCAUGGAUAAGGAAGUCUACAUAGACGAAGCAAACUGCUGGGUAGCACCGCUGCCAUUUAAGCCAAACAGGCUGCGUCUGCCCAACAACAGACAACAUGCUGUCAAUCGCCUCGCCUCCCUCUGUCGCAUGCUGGAGAAGAAACAUGGCAUGAAAGAACACUUCUUCAACUUCAUGCAAGCAAUGUUUGAUGCUGAUCAAGUGGAGGUUGCCCCAGCACUGAGGCCACAACAAGAAUGCUGGUACCUACCAAUAUUCGGUGUUUAUCAUCCACAGAAAAAAGACCAAAUACGUGUAGUGUUUGAUUCCAGUGCAAAACACGAAGGCAUCUCCCUUAAUGACGUUCUUCUCAGUGGGCCCGACAUG
ensembl:lncRNA